rnacentral:rRNA from 1 species
ACGGAGGGAAAACACAAUGACUGAGUGGCGGACGGGUGAGUAACGCGUAGGGAACCUGGCCCUUACAGGGGGAUAACAGAUGGAAACAACUGCUAAUACCGCAUAAGCGCCCAGCCUCGCAUGAGGCAGAGUGAAAAACUAAGGUGGUAAGGGAUGGCCCUGCGUCCGAUUAGCUAGUUGGUAUGGUAACGGCAUACCAAGGCGACGAUCGGUAGCCGGCCUGAGAGGGUGGACGGCCACAUUGGGACUGAGACACGGCCCAAACUCCUACGGGAGGCAGCAGUGGGGGAUAUUGCACAAUGGGGGAAACCCUGAUGCAGCGACACCGCGUGGGUGAAGAAGCGCUUCGGCGUGUAAAGCCCUAUCAGUGGGGAAGAAAAAGGACGGUACCCAAAGAAGAAGCACCGGCUAAAUACGUGCCAGCAGCCGCGGUAAUACGUAUGGUGCAAGCGUUAUCCGGAAUGACUGGGUGUAAAGGGAGCGUAGACGGUUGUACAAGUCUGAUGUGAAAGCCCACGGCUCAACUGUGGGAGUGCAUUGGAAACUGUAGAACUAGAGUAUCGGAGAGGCAAGUGGAAUUCCUAGUGUAGCGGUGAAAUGCGUAGAUAUUAGGAGGAACACCAGUGGCGAAGGCGGCUUGCUGGACGAAAACUGACGUUGAGGCUCGAAAGCGUGGGGAGCAAACAGGAUUAGAUACCCUGGUAGUCCACGCUGUAAACGAUGUAUACUAGGUGUUGGGGCCCGAAGGGCGUCGGUGCCGUCGCAAACGCAGUAAGUAUUCCACCUGGGGAGUACGUUCGCAAGAAUGAAACUCAAAGGAAUUGAC